AUGAUGUAUGACAUGGAGUUUGGAGAAGUGAUGAAAGACCGGAUAGAAGAUUGGUCAGAUGAUGAAAAUUCAGAUCGUGGAGAUAGGUCAGAGAAUGGGAACGUAUUGGAAGAUCUUAAUGAAAACAAUGAGCAUGAUGAUGGUGAGGAAAACAAGUCGGAGAUCUCGAAUGAGGAUUACAUUAGUCAGCUCAUUUCCGAAUGUCAUAAUGCGUACGACUAUUACGGUGAAUCCGACGUGGAGACAGGCCUUGAUGCCGAAUCAUUAGCUGCACCUGAUUCUAGGGAGUCGCAAUCGUCGAUCAUCAUGAGUGAGGUAUGUAUGUGA
rnacentral:rRNA from 1 species